rnacentral:rRNA from 1 species
UAAUACGAGAGGCCCAAACGUUAUUCGGAUUUACUGGGCUUAAAGAGUCCGUAGGCGGCGCAGAAAGUGGGGUGUGAAAUCCCUCGGCUUAACCGAGGAAUUGCGCUCCAAACUCCUGUGCUUGAGGAAUCUAGAGGUGAGCGGAACUGAUGGUGGAGCGGUGAAAUGCGUUGAUAUCAUCAGGAACACCGGAGGCGAAGGCGGCUCACUGGGGAUUUUCUGACGCUGAGGGACGAAAGCCAGGGGAGCGAACGGGAUUAGAUACCCCGGUAGUCCUGGCCGUAAACGAUGAGCACUAGACCGGAGGGCUGCACAGCUUUUCGGUCGUAGCUAAAGUGUUAAGUGCUCCGCCUGGGGAGUAUGGUCGCAAGGCUG